AAAUAUGAAAGCAAUAUUAUUUGAUUACAAUUAUAAUAUUAUAGUGGUCGAAUAACAAAGUCUAUACGGUUAUACAUUUUCUCAUGCACGAACUCAUGUAUUUGGAAUUUCAAUAGGAUAAAGUUAUAACCUAAAAAAAUUUUAACAUUUUUAAACUUCGGCGUAUUGAAUGUGCAAACUAACACAUUAAUAUUUAAAUUAAAAAAAAAAUAAGAAAUCAAUGGAGAAGCCUUUCCAGUGCAUAUUAUUCAUUUGUUUCAUAAAAUCAAUUGUUGGAAUGAAAGAAGCUUUCAUUCAGACGAUAGAUUCUUUGACUGCUGAAAAUGUUUACCUUCCAUGUAAUGUAACAACUAACGACGGUGAUGAAGCUAUAUUAGUUCUGUGGUACCGAGAUGACAAAGCUACUCCAAUAUACAGUGUGGAUAUGCGUGCUGGAAUGUCAAAAGCUCCAAGACGAUGGUCCGACGAUGUGGUCUUCGGUGAAAGAGCAUUUUUUUCUUUCGAAAAUGGGCCUGGAAAACUUUCCAUUGAAAGCGUCCAUGCUAAUGACUCUGGACUAUAUAGGUGUCGAGUGGAUUUCUUAAGGGCACAAACGUAUAACACCCGCAUAAUGCUUAAUGUGAUUAGUAAGUGCAACAAUAUAUUCUUCUGAAAUAAACUUCUUAAGCUUUCAAA